rnacentral:rRNA from 1 species
UACGUAGGCAGCAAGCGUUGUUCGGAGUUACUGGGCGUAAAGGGUGCGUAGGCGGUUGUUUAAGUUUGGUGUGAAAUCUCCCGGCUCAACUGGGAGGGUGCGCCGAAUACUGAAUGACUAGAGUGCGGGAGAGGAGAGUGGAAUUCCUGGUGUAGCGGUGAAAUGCGUAGAUAUCAGGAGGAACACCGGUGGUGCAGACGGCUCUCUGGACCGUAACUGACGCUGAGGCACGAAAGCGUGGGUAGCAAACAGG